AGAUCCCGCACGGACCCUCCUUUGUAGGAUCUGAAUUUUCGAAGAUCUGCAAAAGAAAUGACAGGAUUUCUGCUUGUGCUUUGGUGCAGUUUUAGUUGCUGGCUUCAAGUCAACUGCUUGACUAUAGGACCAUCUAAAGAUUCUUUCUCUAUCCGGUCACUAACAUCCU